rnacentral:rRNA from 1 species
UACAGAGGGUGCGAGCGUUAAUCGGAAUUAUUGGGCGUAAAGGGCGCGUAGGUGGAUGAUUAAGUGAUAUGUGAAAGACCCGGGCUUAACCUGGGGUGGUCAUGUCAUACUGGUCAUCUAGAGUUCAGUAGAGGAAAGUGGAAUUCCCGGUGUAGCGGUGAAAUGCGUAGAUAUCGGGAGGAACAUCAGUGGCGAAGGCG